AGCCAGUUGGCGGUGGUGAGGAUGAGGUAGAGGAGAGAUAUGCCCGCGUGCCCUCACUCCCCUGGCCUCCUAUGGUUCAGGAUUCCUGCCCAAGGUCUUCUUCUCUCUUUCCUCCCCUCCCCAAACGCUGGCCAGAACAAUGUUCUUUCUGGGGGCAGGGGGAAGAAGCCAGAGAUUACCCAGAAUGGAGGAGUUAACCUCCAGGGUGAGGACAGGAUGCUUGCCAGUGACACUGAGAUAGAGGGGGGAAUCCGAACCUGUGACCUUGAUGUUAUAACAAGAUUAGAAAAGAAAAUUGGCAAGUGAGGGAUUGCUAUUGGAGAAAAAAGGAUUACUGACAACAAGAAGAAAUGAUGGUUGUUACUCUGGCAGUGAGAAAAGAGGCAGCAAGAUCUAUUAAAAUUAGAACAGAUGGGGCACAGCUUCUGUAGUUUGCAUUCCAGGAAGGCUUCUGCAAGGAAGAGUCCAAGGUGGAUCUGAUCCCCUCCUUGGAACCCUUGUGUUACAUGUUGCUGCUUCUGGAGCAAAGCAGUUGGCAACUGUCACCCUCAGUUUUCUCUGCUUCCCCGUCCCCCCUCAAUGUUUUCCCUUACCGGGCGCCGGAUAAAGAACAUUGACACAGCUCCCACGAUGGGAAGGUCCCCAAUGAGUGGCUCAAGAAUCACUCGCAAGAUGCCAUGUAUCUGGGACAAGAAGAGAAGAUCAAGGCCUUUCCCCAGAAAAGGUCCUCUGUCCUCCCAGAGACUUCCCCAGGCUUGGUUUUUCAACGUGCCACUUCCCAUAUGCCAUGAAACUUAGAGCAAAGACUCCCUAUUAUGUGGGCCCCUGACAUCUGCCCCACCUGCAUGCCCUUGACUCCUGCUUUGCAGAAAUAUUUCUUCACUUCCACAUCAAUCUGCACAUCACCUACAUAGCUGUGAGUUGGUGAAGAAGAGAAUAAAGAGAGUUAGUAUGAGGCUAAAGUGGGGAAUAGGGAUAGUGAAAUAGCCAGGAGUGAUGAGGAUACAUUGAAGGGGAAAGAGGAAGAGUGGUGAGUGACUUUACCUGAUAUUCAAGUCCAGCAGAAUCUGCUCUUUUCUCUGACCAGGGUGAACCUUGACUCCUAUGAUACGCAAUGGCUGGAAAGAGAUGAAUUCUUGAGGGAGGAAGAACAGGAAGGAGUACCUCAGCCCCCUCUGAGCCACCCACCCUCCCUGUCCCAUCUCCUUCCUUUCAGUACUUUCCUUUCUGCACACAUACCUUUUCACCCAGUUCCACUCGUGUAAAUGUAAAUGUUUGCAGGUGGGGGUUAGAUCCCCGAAUAGCCGGGGCCACAGUUUCAGCCAGAAGCUUCUCCAUAUACUGGCCAAGGAAGGGCCAGACCUGGGCCACAAUCUGGGAGGAAAGGGAGAUGGUCAUAGGAGAGCCCAAUCUUUUCUCUAAAGGCAAGUGCCUUCAGAAUCUUCCCCACAGAGAGCAUUGGGGACUAGGCUGGGGUUAGAAUUGAGGUGUUACAGGGUCCAGUAAGAAGAAAAACCCCCCAUUCUCUCGUUAUGAAAAAUAAAAACCAGAACAAUUAAUUCUCA